rnacentral:rRNA from 1 species
AUGAACGCUGGCGGCGUGCCUAAUACAUGCCAGUCGAGCGAACAGAUGAGGAGCUUGCUCCUCUGACGUUAGCGGCGGACGGGUGAGUAACACGUGGAUAACCUACCUAUAAGACUGGGAUAACUUCGGGAAACCGGAGCUAAUACCGGAUAAUAUAUUGAACCGCCUGGUUCAAUAGUGAAAGACGGUUUUGCUGUCACUUAUAGAUGGAUCCGCGCCGCAUUAGCUAGUUGGUAAGGUAACGGCUUACCAAGGCAACGAUGCGUAGCCGACCUGAGAAGGUGAUCGGCCACACUGGAACUGCGACACGGUCCAGACUCCUACGGGAGGCAGCAGUAGGGAAUCUUCCGCAAUGGGCGAAAGCCUGACGGAGCAACGCCGCGUGAGUGAUGAAGGUCUUCGGAUCGUAAAACUCUGUUAUUAGGGAAGAACAAAUGUGUAAGUAACUAUGCACGUCUUGACGGUACCUAAUCAGAAAGCCACGGCUAACUACGUG